CGCAGACUUACAAAUGCAUAGACUGGCGUUUCCGUUAUCUGCGGAGGAGACUUCCCUUUGAGCGCCAUUUUAGUCACCGCCUCCUCCAGGGUUAGAAGGGUGUCUGUCAGUUGCGCAAAGGAAACAAUCGGGCGGGGGGGGGGGACAGAGUAGUGCCGCCGCCGCCGCCUCCCCGUCUCACCCAAAUAAAAGGUGACACUACAACUCCUUGCUCUGUGGAGUAGAAGAUGCAGAUCCUAUUUACACUGCCUCCGUGUUUGCCAUUUACAAAUACUGUUCCCAGCCAGACUUUCAAGAAGGUUGCUAAAUGCUGCUGGAAAGAUGAAGAAAUCCUCUUGGUUGUUUGAGGAUACUGACUGAUAAAACUACACUAAAAAUUAAGUUAAAAUGUUUAAGUUGUUUUCUUGUUUUAGCUAUUGUAAAGCUGUUUUUGUUUAAAUGACCAAUAGUUAUGCGAUGAAGACUUACCCAGCUAUAUGCAGGAUGUGGUAAUCUUUGUUGGAUCCAGAAAAUCUUUUCCUCAUGUAAUUAAGAUCAUCAAUAGUUUUUUCUUUUAGGUCAACGUAUCAAAUUAAUUUUGGGAAAUUAGAAUGGUUUGUAUUUAUCUUACCUAGAGUCCCAUGAGAUUUUUUUAAUGUUGUUUUAACUACACAAGUAUGGCUUAACAAAUAAACCAAUUGAUUGCUCUUACCUAGAGAUGUGAAAGAUAAAGUAGCCAGUUUAUUUCACAUACCAUGGUCAGAUACACAUAUUGAUAGCUUGGAAUAUUGAUUACGCAAUGGUUAGCCUGGUACUGUUUGGUCAUAAUAAAUGAAUGCUAAAAGAAUUUCGUACGAUGGUCUAAGAUGUAAUUUUUUUUGCUUCGGAAUGUUUGCUACUCUAAAGAUGAAUAUUUUGUCCUGGAUUGAUGUAAAUAUUCUUUUAUAUCAAUUUUAAUUUUAAAAGAAUGGCAGCAACUGAUAAACUGUGUGGGCUCAUAAACCCCACAGAAUAUCUACACAAACCUUUAUAUAAACCACUGGAUAAGGGAGAUUCAGCAUUACUAUGCAUUAAAAAAACCAAGCAGCCCACUUAACUCAAUGCAAGAAAACAUUGGUUGCUUGC